GCAGUGUCUGCACCAUGGCCUGGACCCCACUCCUCCUCACCCUCCUCCUUCACUGCACAGGGUCCCUCUCACAGCUUGCACUGACUCAGCCGCCCUCUGCCUCUGCCUCCCUGGGAUCCUCGGUCAAGGUUACCUGCACCCUGGACAGUGGGCACAGCAGCUAUGGCAUUGCAUGGCACCAGCAGCAGCCAGGGAAGGCCCCUCGGUACUUGAUGUGGCUUCAGAGUGAUGGAACCAGCAACAAGGGAGAUGGGAUCCCUGACCGCUUCUCAGGCUCCAGCUCUGGGGCUGAACGCUACUUAACUAUCUCCAACCUCCAGUCUGAGGAUGAGGCUGAUUAUUACUGUGAAAGUAAUGACAGCAGUGGUUUACACAGUGACACAGGCAGAUGA